AUUGAACGCUGGCGGCAGGCUUAACACAUGCAAGUCGAACGAGUGGCGGACGGGUGAGUAAUGUAUGGGAACGUGCCCAAUGGAGGGGGAUAACUACUGGAAAGGGUGGCUAAUACCGCAUACUAUUGGAGCGGCCGAUAUCGGAUUAGCUUGUUGGUGGGGUAACGGCUAACAAAGGCGACGAUCCCUAGCUGGUCUGAGAGGAUGACCAGCCACACUGGAACUGAGACACGGUCCAGACUCCUACGGGAGGCAGCAGUGGGGAAUGUUGGACAAUGGGCGCAAGCCUGAUGCAGCCAUGCCGCGUGUAUGAAGAAGGCCUUCGGGUUGUAAAGUACUUUCAGCGGGGAGGCGUUACCCGCAGAAGAAGCACCGGCUAACUCCGUGCCAGCCGCCGCGGUAAUAC
rnacentral:rRNA from 1 species